CAGUAGCCGCGGGAAUACGGAGGGGGCUAGCGUUGUUCGGAAUUACUGGGCGUAAAGCGCACGUAGGCGGCUUGGUAAGUUAGAGGUGAAAGCCUGGAGCUCAACUCCAGAAUUGCCUUUAAGACUGCCGAGCUAGCAGGUGAGAGAGGUAAGUGGAAUUCCGAGUGUAGAGGUGAAAUUCGUAGAUAUUCGGAAGAACACCAGUGGCGAAGGCGGCUUACUGGCUCAUACUGGACGCUGAGGUGCGAAAGCGUGGGGAGCAAACAGGAUUAGAUACCCGAGUAGUCCAUGUCUCUUAUAC
rnacentral:rRNA from 1 species